AACCCAUGAUGAGGGUAUUUUAGUAAAAGGUCCUUGAACCUUUCAUAAUCUUCGAACAAAGUUUCUAAAUCUCCUUACCUGAAGGCUAAAAUUUCUUGCCUAAGUCU